ensembl:miRNA eel-mir-11065 eel-mir-11065
CCACCGAGCCCCUCUUGCUGCAGGGAGACUGUUUGAAACUGUGCUGCCAAUCUAGUUUACAGACAGCUCUCUGAAGUAAU